UUCCAUUUAAGGAGAUUGCUUGUGGGUCAGAACAGGAGACUCCAAACAGUUGAGUGUAAAAUGGUCCACCGGCGUUUUCAAGGCCCCACGCCUUCUGAACCGGCUGAGCUGGGAUGUUGAACAGGGCUGCAGUAGGAAUUUCCUCUCCUCCGCUGUGAUUUCUUAGUCACCAGAGGUGAAGUAUUGCUUUUGAUCUCUGUUUUGGAGGGGCAGGGGUGUUCAGAGGCUUCAGUUAGCCUUUCUUCCCGCAGCGUCUCCACAUCAUGAGUGAAGAAAUGGAGUGGGGUUUCCACCAGGGACUGAGCGUGUCUUUGCCAGCUGAGCACUGUGGAGCUGGGAGAAUCUCUGGAGGACAGAUUCAGGACUCCAGUGGGCUACCAUGAUGCGGAUGCAUCGGAAGGCUCCGUUUAUGACCUGGCAUGCCUUCCGCUUCUCAUAGGCCACAGGUUCUUAUUAGAACGGAGCCAGUGUUCACUCAACUCUGAAAUGUCCAGGUGGGUCUCCGUAUGGAGCCUUCAGAAGAUCAUAGUACUGCUUGCUUAGUAUGCUAUUGCAGUGGAGCUGAAUGGAAGCCCAUCUCCUGAUACACGGUCACAUGGGGUUGCUGCUCAGGUGGAUGCUACACCAGCCUGCAGCUCCUGACACAGGUCCAGUGCUGGCCCAUGGAGGGGCCCCUGAAGAGGGUGCUGGGAUCUGGGGAAGCUCUGGCUUGUCACAGGGGCCUUGGAGAAGACACCCUGUAUUCACCCUGUGCCACAGAGAAACAUGGGUAUGUGCCAGUUCUCUGGGCGCUGUUUGCAGAGUCUUCCCCUUUGCUGGUCACAGAGACACCUCUGACCAGGGCCCCAUCUCCAAGCAAUAAGGUGGAGGUUCAGCAGCCACACCGCUCACGGGGUCACUCCAAAGGACUGGCCGGGCCACCUUCUUGCCAAGGACCCUGAGGGAGGCUCACCUCAACCUCUCUCUUGAGAUGUACUGCAGCAAGUCACCUUUCCUGGAACUUAAGACGCACUUCUCAGAAAGCAGCUUGAUUCUUCUAAAAUCAACAUGCAUUUAUAAUUGAUGUGUACAUUUAAGAAUGAUUUCCUCUUCCUCUCGGAAGCUGUCAUCGACUUUGUGGCCUCUCAGUUGUAAGUCUCCCACGUGAGCAGGACACACAGUGCGUGCCUCUCCGGGGGCCCCAGCCCCGCCCAGUCCAGGAGGCGGAGGCCUUCCGGGAGAGACCUGCACUCCCCGGGCAUCCUCAGAGGGACACCUUUCCCAGCAUUCCCGGAGAGGCUCCCACCGGGCCCAGGGCCUGCUCCACGUCUUCCCAGCAGUGAGUGUGACCACCAUGAUUUUGCGCCUGAUGGACAGAGCAGCGGCCACCUUCUGGCUGAGCUUCCCCUGUGUCCCUCUGUUUGCAGGCAGUCACCUCUCAAGGUACCUCAAGGGAGCAGGCACUGCCGGUGACCCAUGUGUGUCUGCCGGAGAGCUGCCGACACAGCCAGUCAUCACAUUCAAGGACUGUUUCUCUGAGAGCUGGUUCUAUUCUCCUCCAAUGAGGCUGGUUCCAAGACCCACCCCCAGCUUGCCUGUGGCCCCCGACCAGCACUAAAUGGCUGCUGAUUGGAUUCCCAACUCCAGAUCCUCCAAAUUGGCCACGUUCUUCUCUCCCUCUGGUUCAGCUGCAUGUAGCCUAACACAGUAGAACGUACAGUACAGCACGUGGCCAGUGGGCAGGGGAACAGACUGUAGGGGUGGCAGAGCCUCUAGGAGGGGUGCAGCAGGCAGGCAAGUGGCCCUCCUAACAGCGGCCUCAUUUGUAGAUGACUCAACUCGGGUGAUAAGCUGUUGGUCCUUUAAUGGACCGGAACCUGGUGGUCCGGAG